GACGUAGGAGGCGAGCGUUGUCCGGAUUCAUUGGGCGUAAAGAGCUCGUAGGCGGUCUGUUGCGUCGGCUGUGAAAACCCGAGGCUCAACCUCGGGCCUGCAGCCGAUACGGGCAGACUAGAGUUCGGCAGGGGAGACUGGAAUUCCUGGUGUAGCGGUGAAAUGCGCAGAUAUCAGGAGGAACACCGGUGGCGAAGGCGGGUCUCUGGGCCGAUACUGACGCUGAGGAGCGAAAGCGUGGGGAGCGAACAGG
rnacentral:rRNA from 1 species